UACGUAGGGUGCAAGCGUUAAUCGGAAUUACUGGGCGUAAAGCGUGCGCAGGCGGUUAUAUAAGACAGAUGUGAAAUCCCCGGGCUCAACCUGGGAACUGCAUUUGUGACUGUAUAGCUAGAGUACGGCAGAGGGGGAUGGAAUUCCGCGUGUAGCAGUGAAAUGCGUAGAUAUGCGGAGGAACACCGAUGGCGAAGGCAAUCCCCUGGGCCUGUACUGACGCUCAUGCACGAAAGCGUGGGGAGCAAACAGG
rnacentral:ncRNA from 4 species